UGCGGAGGGAUCAUUACACAAUAAAAUACGAAGGCCGUUCGCGGCUGGACUAUUUAUUACCCUUGUCUUUUGCGCACUUGUUGUUUCCUGGGCGGGUUCGCUCGCCACCAGGACCACAAUAUAAACCUUUUUUAUGCAGUUGCAAUCAGCGUCAGUACAACAAAUGUAAAUCAUUUACAACUUUCAACAACGGAUCUCUUGGUUCUGGCAUCGAUGAAGAACGCAGCGAAAUGCGAUACGUAGUGUGAAUUGCAGAAUUCAGUGAAUCAUCGAAUCUUUGAACGCACAUUGCGCCCUUUGGUAUUCCAAAGGGCAUGCCUGUUCGAGCGUCAUUUGUACCCUCAAGCUUUGCUUGGUGUUGGGCGUUUUUGUCCCCCCCAAAAAAGGGGACUCGCCUUAAAAGGAUUGGCAGCCGGCCUACUGGUUUCGCAGCGCAGCACAUUUUUGCGCUUGCAAUCAGCAAAAGAGGACGGCAAUCCAUCAAGACUCCUUCUCACGUUUGACCUCGGAUCACGUAGGGAUACCCUCUGAACUUAAGCAUAUCAAUAAGCGGAGGAA
rnacentral:rRNA from 1 species